CUCCCCAAACUUUAAAAAAAUAUGGGAUGAGGAGAGAGGUACCCUAGUCAAUUAAUGAUGAUCCAAAUUUGCCUACUGAAAUUUUAGUAUAGAAGAAAUGUACUUGUGCUCUCUGUCAGAGACUUAAAUCUCCGUGGAUAAUACGAAAUUUUCGUGCCUUUCUGAAAACCAACUAUUAAAAGUAACAGUAGUCAUCCCUCAUUAUUGACAGUAAAGAAUCUUGGAAUUAGAGAAUUUUUGGAGGAUUUGGAAUUUUUAAGUUUGACAACUGUGCCCCCAGAGAAGCAGAACAUCAUCUUCAUCUCUCCAGUUUUGUUUUGAAUCCUGAUGUUGUUCAGGAAUCCCUCUUAUCCACAGGUGGUAUACCAGCUCCACUCCUGGAGCUCAGCAUCUUGAGCUCCAGGAGUGGUCUGGACUUGCUUAAGGUUUUUAAUGUCCUUCACAUAUUCAACAUAACACACCGACAGUGGAUAAACAAUAGGGGAAAAGAAUCUUCAGCAAAGAUCUUCCAGAACUCAUAGCAUCACUUUGGUCAAACACUAUAAAGAGAACCAUCAAAUGAACAAAGGAUAAGGAAAUUUGACAGAGAAUUUUAAUUUUAGCUCAACAACUUACCAAAAAAAAAAAAAAAAAAAAAAAGAACCAAACAUACAGCCUUCUCUCUUCUACCUGUUGGAAAGAAAGCAAAAGUGAAUUAGAACUAUAUCUUUUUUGUGAAACAGCUUAAAAGAGGGGCGGGAAGAUGGGAGGGGGAACACAGCUGUUGCUAAUGUUAUAAUGCACAAAGUCAAGGAUUCUGAGAACUGUAUUACUAGAAAUAUAAAGGCAUAAAGACAUAAACU